rnacentral:rRNA from 1 species
AUCGAACGCUAGCGGGAUACCUUACACAUGCAAGUCGAACGGCGUGGCGAACGGGUGCGUUAUGUAAUGGAACGUGCCCCUUUGCGGUGGAUAACUACGCGUACGCGUAACUAAUUCCGCCUCCUCUUGCCGCGCCCCAUACCGGAUUGGCUAGGUGGUGGGGUAACCGCUCACCCAGGCGACGAUCCGUAGCUGGGUUGAGAGGACGACCAGCCACACUGGGACGGAGACACGGCCAAGACUCCUACGGGAGGCAGCAGGGGGGAAUUUUGGACAAUGGGGGCAACCGUGAUCCAGCCAGCCGGCGUGUGAGAUGAAGGCCUUCGGGUGGUAAAGCACGUUUGGCAGGAAAGCGGUACCCGCAGAAGAAGCACCUGUUAACUUCGUGCCAGCAGCCGCGGUAAUUC